UCAGUUCGCGCCAAGCUGCGCUGAGGAGAGGGUGUUUGGGGGAAAUCCGGAGCCCAGGAGCCUCAGUAUUUAAAAUGUUCUUGUUUUGAACAGGAAUAAAACAACGCAGAGUUGAUUCCAGAGUGAUUCCGGUGUGAUUCUUCCUACAACCGCUACAUUUGGUGCCGUGACCCGGAUCCAUUGGUUAGCCACUGCCGACCGCCGAGGGUUCAGCUGUGUGCUAGUGACGCUGAUGUCAUCCAGUUGGUCGACCUGUGGAUCUUGUUCAUUACUGUCGAGGUUACGAUCGCUUUUAUGAACACAGAGACUUUAAACAAUCAGUCAAAUCACUAUAUUAGUUUGUCAAAGCCAUUUUUUUGUGA